UGUAAAAUAAGCUAAGGUUUAAGCUAUUGGGUUCAUACCCCGAAAAUGAAUAGUUUUAUUCUUUUACAA
rnacentral:tRNA from 1 species